UCGCAUGGCUGUCGUCAGCUCGUGUCGUGAGAUGUUGGGUUAAGUCCCGCAACGAGCGCAACCCUUGCCUUUAGUUGCCAGCAGUUCGGCUGGGCACUCUAAAGGGACUGCCGGUGUUAAACCGGAGGAAGGUGGGGAUGACGUCAAGUCCUCAUGGCCUUUAUGACCAGGGCUACACACGUACUACAAUGGCCGAUACAAAGGGCAGCGACACUGCGAGGUGAAGCCAAUCCCGUAAAAUCGGUCUCAGUCCGGAUUGGAGUCUGCAACUCGACUCCAUGAAGUUGGAAUCGCUAGUAAUCGUGGAUCAGCAUGCCACGGUGAAUACGUUCCCGGGCCUU
rnacentral:rRNA from 1 species